GAUUGUUCUUGGUUAUCUUAUCCUUUUCCUUCUCUACUGUUAGGUUUGCCACUGCAUCACGGCAGCUAGCAAAAAAUCUAGAGCAUCACACCUUGAAUGAACAUGGGCUUUCCAAAAGAUAUGUACGCUGCCUGCAGAUAUCGGAGGUGGUGAAUCACAUGAAGGACUUGAUUGAGUUCAGCCACAAGAACAAUCUUGGUCCGAAAGAGAGCCUGAAUAGUUAUUCUAAAACUAUUGCGAAGUUUCAGAAUAUGCAUGAUUCAAGACAGCUCAUGGCUGCUGCUAGCCUUGCCAAUAACCAGAGCAACACCAAAGUAAUGGGGGUCCAGCAAGAGGCAAGUGCUUUAUCUAGUAAUAAAAUUUAUAUGGGUCAAGCUAUGCGGUCUAAGUGUCAAACAGUCCAGGUCUCCAGGAAAUCAUGGGAAUAACAGAAUAUGCUACCUACUGUAAGAUUCUCUAUGCUAACAUACAGGCUACAUUGAUCGUACAUCUAAUUAUUCACUGAACGCAAUAAAGGCUAACUAUCUGCUAGAAAAUAGUCAGUAAAAAUGAUACAGGCAAAUAAUCAGUUAACAUUUUGGAUAAUUAGUAACUUCAUGUGUUACAGUUUAAUCAGUUAACAAAAAUAAUACUGGCAAAUAGUCUGAACUCUGGAGCGCCCCAAUGCCUAACCUAAUUUCACUCUAGGAGAUGCUCCAGGUUUGCACUAAAAUGGCAUAUAUUCCUACAAAACAUUGGGGAUAGGCACCAGGUGUACAAAAUAGUU